GAUGAACGCUGGCGGCGUGCCUAAUACAUGCAAGUCGAGCGAAUGGAUUAAGAGCUUGCUCUUAUGAAGUUAGCGGCGGACGGGUGAGUAACACGUGGGUAACCUGCCCAUAAGACUGGGAUAACUCCGGGAAACCGGGGCUAAUACCGGAUAACAUUUUGAACCGCAUGGUUCGAAAUUGAAAGGCGGCUUCGGCUGUCACUUAUGGAUGGACCCGCGUCGCAUUAGCUAGUUGGUGAGGUAACGGCUCACCAAGGCAACGAGGCGUAGCCGACCUGGGAGGGUGAGCGGCCAAACUGGGACUGAGACACGGCCCAGACUCCUACGGGAGGCAGCAGUAGGGAAUCUUCCGCAAUGGACGAAAGUCUGACGGAGCAACGCCGCGUGAGUGAUGAAGGCUUUCGGGUCGUAAAACUCUGUUGUUAGGGAAGAACAAGUGCUAGUUGAAUAAGCUGGCACCUUGACGGUACCUACCAGAAAGCCACGGCUAACUACGUGCCAGCAGCCGCAGUAA
rnacentral:rRNA from 1 species